GCGCACAUCCAGCUCUUUUCUGCUCGGAAAAAAUACUUGGUGGACACAGAGCCUUCGUAGUUCAGCCCUGUUGGUGCAAUAGGUCCGAUAUAGCCUACUGUAGGCUAUCUUUACUGUGUUAUAGUCUAUAUUUUAUUAUAUCCCAAUGGUUUCACGAAUAUUUUCAUUGAUACAUACUUAGGCCUAUUGCCUAUACGUGAAUAGCCUAUGCCAUAAAAAUGAUUUCCCUUUAUGAUUUAAUGUUGACAUUUGAAGUGUAGGCCUAUCUAUCUUUUGCCUUCUUUCCUUCAGAACCUGCUGAAACGUCAAAUCUUGGAGAGAUUGCGAAGCAAGAUGCAAUAUGUGCUUAGCUGUCCUUGCUUGGAUCUUGAUUAUCUUCAUUUCAUGUGCACCCAUGAAUUGUUACUCCUCGAUUCAUUGGCAGAGCAGAUGGAGUUGCCAUUAGAUAUAGUCAAUGCCAUUAGAGAACUCACAAACCAGGUCAGAAGUCAGGUAGACAGUGAGCAACAUUUUAUUUCUCCCGAUAUACAGACAGUGCAAAGGGGCAAGGGGACGACCAAAAUUAAUAAUUGAGCAAGAAAAGUUACAGAUAGAUACUCAGUUGUCUAUACCAACAAUUUCAAAACUGUUGGGAGUCAGUCAAGCUACAUUAUUCCGGCGAAUGGCAGAAUUUUGGAUUUCUGUGACAGGGUCCUACAGCACAAUGUCAGACCAGGAGCUUGACACCUUAGUGUCUAACAUUAAAGCUGAAAUGCCAAAUAUUGGCUUCAGAUUGGUAAUGGGAAGACUGAGAUCCUUAGGCCACAGGGUACAGUGGAACAGAAUGAAAGCAGCUAUGCAUAGAGUAGAUGCAGCUGGGAUUCUUGUGCGCUUGACACAGUUAGGCUGUGUUGUGUGAAGAAGCUACUCUUUAAGAGCCCGCCUAUCUCUUGUGCAUGUGGAUACUAACCACAAACUCAUAAGGUAAGUUGCUUUCACAUGAAGUUGUCAAAUGAAUGAAUCAUCUGUAACAAAUGCAUACAAUAUACUAAAUUUGACUUUCUCCUAUAUAGGUACAACAUACUCAUUUUUGGGGGCAUAGAUGGCUUUUCCAGAAAGGUCAUGUACCUAGAACCUGCCAACAAUAAUAGUUCAUCUACUGGCCUCGCUUUCUUCCUGACCUCCUGUGAUAAGAACGGUUUGCCCUCAAGGAUCAGAGGUGAUCAGGGUGUGGAGAAAAA